rnacentral:tRNA from 1 species
GGGGGUGUGUUGGAAUUGGUAUACAAUGCGGACUUAAAAUCCGCCGCCCUAUGGGAUUGAGAGUUCGAGUCUCUUCGCCCCCACCA